AAUGAACGUUGGCGGCGUGGAUUAGGCAUGCGAGUCGUGCGAGAACCGUAGCAAUACGGGGACAGCGGGCGAAAGGGAGAGGAACACGUGGAUACCUACCCUCAGGUUCAGGAUAGCUAUGGGAACUAUAGGUAAUACUGAAUAAUAUCUCCGGAUCAAAGGUGUGAUUCCGCCGGAGGAGGGGGUCCGCGUCCUAUUAGCUAGUUGGUGAGGUAAUGGCUCACCAAGGCGAAGAUGGGUACGGGAUGUGAGAACAUGAUCCCGCUCAUUGGGACUGAGACACUGCCCAGACACCUACGGGUGGCUGCAGUCGAGAAUCUUCGGCAAUGGGGGAAACCC
rnacentral:rRNA from 1 species